CACGGACCGCACGAACGUUAUUCGGUAUCACUGGGCUUAAAGGGUGCGUAGGCUGCGCAGAAAGUUGGGUGUGAAAUGCCUCGGCUCAACCGAGGAACUGCGCCCAAAACUACUGUGCUUGAGGGAGAUAGAGGUGAGCGGAACUUAGGGUGGAGCGGUGAAAUGCGUUGAUAUCCUAAGGAACACCCGUGGCGAAAGCGGCUCACUGGAUCUCUUCUGACGCUGAGGCACGAAAGCUAGGGUAGCGAACGGG
rnacentral:rRNA from 1 species